rnacentral:rRNA from 1 species
AUUGAACGCUGGCGGCAUGCCUUACACAUGCAAGUCGAACGGCAGCACGGGAGCAAUCCUGGUGGCGAGUGGCGAACGGGUGAGUAAAGUAUCGGAACGUGCCCAGUCGUGGGGGAUAACGUAGCGAAAGUUACGCUAAUACCGCAUACGAUCUAUGAAUGAAAGCGGGGGAUCGCAAGACCUCGCGCGAUUGGAGCGGCCGAUAUCAGAUUAGGUAGUUGGUGGGGUAAAGGCUCACCAAGCCGACGAUCUGUAGCUGGUCUGAGAGGACGACCAGCCACACUGGGACUGAGACACGGCCCAGACUCCUACGGGAGGCAGCAGUGGGGAAUUUUGGACAAUGGGCGAAAGCCUGAUCCAGCCAUGCCGCGUGUAGGAUGAAGGCCUUCGGGUUGUAAACUGCUUCUGUACGGAACGAAAAGGUUUGGCCUAAUAAGCUGAGCUCAUGACGGUACCGUAAGAAUAAGCACCGGCUAACUACGUGCCAGCAGCCGCAGUAA